AUAGAGGGAGAAAGGAAAAAAAAAAUUAGAUUUUUAUCUAACCAUUUUUUGAAAUAAUUACGAUAUUGCCACUGGUGAUGUUUUGCUCGUAACUUCUUCGUUACAAUUUCGAUUCGAGCUCACUACGUUUGCGGACUCAUCUCAGUACAAUCUACCUAAAAAUACCAUUCGUUACCUCAAAAUUUCUUCGUAUAUGAAAAUGACCAAAAUACCCAUACUCCAAGGGUAAAUUCAUAAAUUCAUAUUUAAUUAAAUAAAAUAAUUUAAAUAGGAAAUUUAAUUGGAGUUGGGGUGUUACAACCUACCCCCCUUAUAAAGAUUUCAUCCUCGAAAUUUACAUACAUAUCAAUUGAAGAGAUAAGGGUACUUAGCCCACAUCUGCGCCUCGGGCUCCAGAGUAGCUUCUUCAACACUUUGACUUCUCCACAACUUUCACCACAUGAAUGGAUCUGGAGCGCAACAUUUGUUUUUUUCUAUCCAGGAUCUACACAGGUUGCUCCUCAUAUGUCAAAUCUUCUCUCAACUCCACUGGUUGAUGUUCUAGAACAUGAGAAGGAUCAGACAUAUACUUCUGUAUCAUGGAUACAUGAAACACGUCAUGGAUCCGAGAUAGUUCUGUAUGUAAGGCAAGUCUAUAGGCAACUGGUCCAACGCGCUCUGUGAUCUCGUAAGGUCCAAUAUAACAAGGGCUUAACUUCCCACGUUUCCCAAAUCUCAUCACACCUUUCCAAAGAGCUAGCUUCAAGAAUACCCAAUCUCCAACAGUAAACUCAAGAUCCUUGGACCUGUUGUCCGCAUAACUUUUCUGUCGGUCUUGUGCGGUUUUCAACUUGUCUCUAAUCAUCUUCACCUUCUCGGUUGGUGCUCGGAUACUUUCUACCUUUUUCACUUUCUUGUCACCCACCUUAUUCCAACAUAUAGGAGUUCUACACUGCCUCCCAUACAAAGUCUCAUACGGAGCCAUCUCAAUGCUUGAAUGAUAACUGUUGUUAUAUGAAAACUCCACCAAGGCAAGGUAAGUAUCCCAAUUGUCUUUCAACUGUAAUACAUAAGAUAUCAGCAUGUCUUCCAAGGUCAGGUUGUAACACAUGGACUCCAAUUAAAUUCCCUAUUUAAAUUAUUAAAUAUGAAUUACAAAUUUGCCCUUGGGGUAGGGUUAUUUUGGUCAUUUUCUUAUCCUGAGAGAUUUUGAGGUAACGAGUGGUAUUUUUAGGUAGAUCGUACUGAGAUGAGUUCGUAGACGCAAUGGGUUUGAAUUGGAGUUGUCACGAAGAAGUUACGAGCAAAACAUCACCAGUGGCAAGAUCGUAAUUAUUUCGAAAAGGGUUUGAUAAAAAUUUGAUUUUUUUUUCUUUCUCCCUCUCCCAUUGCGACAGCCCCCUCCCCUUUGAAAAUUUGCAGUUGACGCCACCUUUCUCGAAAAACACCACCACCGGCCACCAGACUAGUCGGGUCAGAACCGCUACUACCCCAACAACCGUUCCCGACCAACUCCGACGUCAGCCACCGCCUGAAUGGGUAAGAAAAAGUCGUCAAUUUUUGACAAUUUUUCGCCGGCUUCGUUCUACGUCAUUCGGUUAUCGUUUUCGACAAGUGAGGUAUGCUUUCUCACCUAUUGUUCAUGAUCUAGCUGAUGGUUGGGUAGGAUUUCGUCAAUUUUGAGCCUACGUGGUUUGAUUUUCAAAUUGAAAUUCGGUCAAUUUUGGGAUCACGAUUCCGAUCACUUCCGGUCACUUUUUGGGUUAGGCCCAAGAACAAAAGUGCCCCAAAUAAGGUGUUACACCUAGGGUAGAAGUCUUGACCCGCUUUGUUGCCGCAUGUGGCAGUGUCUGGGCACUGUAGAAAGGGGCAUUGUGUACCGAUGUGAUCCCCUGGUCCUCCCAAACGCCUAGGUGCUUUCGGAUUUCAAUUUGAUUGACGUUUGAGCACCGAACGGAUUUCGCAUAUUGUGCGUUAUCCGGGUUCGAUAGGUUCUAACUGUUGGAUCGUUUCAAAUAUAAUAUGUGUUACUCUAGACAUUCUUAGAAUUGCAUAGGAAUUUGCAGAUCGUGAAUUGGGGUCCUGGAUGUUCUAAUUCAUAAACUUGAAGUUUGCGUUUUACGAGAACCGUGCGAUCGUGAGCAAUCCGACCGUCUGUUUCGGACCAAACUUGCAAGACGUGCAUCCUAGACCUUGUGAAACUUUUAGAAACGCCCGGAUUGUAAAACAGAGGUCGUGGGCCCAGUUGACCCGAAUUGGGAAGUUUGACUGUUAGUUGACCGAGUGUUUCCCGAGGCUAUUCCAUCGUACGAUUUGGGUAGUUGGAUCUUAGAAUGUCUCAUUCCUCGUGCACUUGAAACUCGAGAAAUUAGGAUAUUUAAUUCAAAGUUCUCGUUCGAAACACUUUGUAUUAAUCUCGUAUUCAUAUUUUGAAAUAAGUACUCCGAUUACGCAUACGCCGCAGGCGGGACCCUCUUGGGGUCAAGCAGCGUGGGACCACUUGUGAGUGGACUUUGUUUUCAAAUAAUAAGUAUGGUUUUAUGAUGGAAAACUUAUGCAUAAUGCAUUUGCUAUAUAUUUUGGGUUUUGACAUAUUUGAGUAUCUUGAGUAUAUAUGUAUGGAUUUUGAGAAAUUCUAUCUAUAUUUGUCAAUGUAUGGGGUACUUGGAUUGUUGAGAUGAGUUUGUGGAAAGAAAUGAGUAUAGAAUGUCAGUUUGGAGUGCUAUAAGCACUACCCUAUGUGCCUCACCGGAUUUGGAACUUUGGAAUUGAAAUGGAAGAUACUUGAAUAUGUUGGAACUCAGACGCUCUUGACAGGGUUUUCGUGGACCUUUAGCAGGGUAGUCUGCGCAAGUAGGACUGAUCACAGGCAUACGAGUCUUGAAAAUUCGGCUGUACGUUCUGGCUGAGAGUUUGUCCCUAGUUGAACGGGUCAUUCCCUAGCCACAUGAUCAAUUGAGGACUAUUCCAUGUGGACUAAUCAAACAAUCCCCAGUUUGAUUGUUUUUCCGGUACAAACUAGAUAAUUAUCAUAUUUAUAUCAUAUGUAUAUUGUUUAUUAUAUAUUUAUAUCUAUUCAUUCGUUCUUGUUUCUUAGUGAGGAUACUUCCUCGCUUGUCGUGCCAAUGGGCACUUGUUUCGAGAGUUUAGUUUUGGGACUUAUAAGAUAAAGUUUGAAUGGCUGAUUGGUAAAGUUUUCUUAUGGAUUUCGGACUUGGCUCCGGUAUAGAUUUAACUUGAUCUUUAUUUUUGUCCACUCACACUUUUCUAUUUUGCGUCCCACAGUCAGUAGUUGACUUAGCUCCGCAGCUGAGCCGAAUCGUGUGCUUCCAAAUCUUGAGCCUUCGUAGGACUCUUUCAUCAUUUAAUUUCCAUUCAACUUUGUUUUUGUUGUAAUUGAAUUUCUUAGAUAUGCUAUGUUAUCGCCCGUGCUAUGGUUUGAUUUAUGAGUCCGGGGGCCUUCGUUGUAAACUGUUUAUUGUUUAAAAGCAUGUUGCUGGUUGGGAUAUUAAAUUGUGAGUGGGCCUGGCAUCGGGGUGAUGCCGGAAAUACUACGGGAUUCAUCCCGGGUUCCAAAGAAUCCAGGGCGGGUCCUGUCAAUCAUGACCACAAAUUUAAAAUCUUAAACCUUAAAGACACAUUUCUACAUGAUUUUCUUCGACAGAUUGAUUUGUGUUAAAUGGGUAUCAUAGCUAUUGCUAAAAGAUUACAAGAGAUUUCUUUCUAGGUUCAAUUGAAAUAGACAAGUGCAUAUGUGGUGCAACAUGGUCUUUAAUUUUUGUGGAUGUUUACUAGUCCUCUUAUGUGAAAAUAUAAGUUGUUUACUUUAUAAGAUGGUGCAAAGUUUCAAAUCUAACCGAAAUCAAUUCCAUUCAUGAUUAAGCUUGGAAUGUAUAUUUUUUUAUUCACUAGAUAGAUGCGUUAGAUGGACUGGUAUUACUGCAUGACAUGACAAACCUUGCAAAUCCUCACUUCGACUGUCAUCAUAUGAUGGUUUUCUAGUACAGAGUUCUUCGACAGAGCAGUGACUCUGCUACUCUCACUAUGAAGUAGUUUUUGCCUGUGAUCUAGCCUGGUUACUUCCUUGUCAUGUUUUGUGGCUCAUAAGGAAUUGUUUUAAUGUCACUCUGUUUUUGGGUGUCAUUCGAGCAUGGUUCGAAUGGGUAAUGAGGAGACUUGUUUUUGUAGCUUGUUGAUACUGCUCUGUGACUGAUCAUGUCAUGGGUGCAUGAAUAGGGUUAGAAUUCAAGGCAUGGAAGGGAAGAAAUUUGAGGAAGGGGAGGGUUAAGGAUUAAUGUAUUUCUUUUUCUUAAGGACUAAGGUGGCUAACGAUGAAUGAAGAAAUUCUACCUCAGCCCAUUAACCUAUAUGUUGUUUGUUCAAUUUACCCAUUAAAUGCUUCUGUGAUUGAAGAAAUAGAUUUGCCUAUCCUGGUUUCAUUUCAUUUCCAGCUCCUUUGUUUAUUGCAUAUGUAUCAUGUAAUUAAUCCUUUAGCUGCAAAGUUCUAUUUGAUGAGACAUCCACUUGUUGCGACAUCUACUUGUUAUGCUUUAUUUCUCAGUGAAGUCUGAUGCAAUACAACUGAAGUAUUUAAGAUAACUAGUGAGGAGAUGAUAUCUCUACUUCCUGAGUUCAUGGAUACUUGUGAAAAUAAAGAUAUUAGGGUUGAAGAAUAUUUAGAUUUCAUUGUUAAGAAGCGAUCAGUUGCAAGCAAGGAAGCACUUGGAAUACGAAUUCACAGCAUGGGGAUGCGUAUUUCUGCCAUAUGGGAAGCCAGGAAUCUAGAAAUUUCCACUCUAAAGAAAUCAGAGAAGGCAUUUCAGCCAAAUUCAGAUAAAAAGGAUAGGAAGUUUCCACUUUUAUCGCAGAGAAAAAGGAGCUGGACAAACGUUUCAGCACUAUUUCUCAGCGCGUUGAAUCGUUUUCCCCCAUACAUAAGGAUUUUUGUGGCAAGCACAUUAGAUUUGAUCCUAAAACUUCAAGCUCAGAGGAUGAAGGUAGGGAUGAUUAUUUGUCUGAAGAGAAUGAUGAAAAUAAUGACCAUGUAACAGGCAGUCAGGUUAACUUCUCAUCAGAGUCUGUUGAAAGUUCUGACCGAGUACUUGAUAGGAUGCUGCAGUUUAAUAAUACUGAAGCUCAGAAGAGAAAGAAAAUCAAGUCAAUGUUUUCUUUGUAUCCAUUAAUUGGAUUACUAAAUGUUGUUGCAAGUUAUUGUGGCUUGAGAAAUUUUCCCAUGUUUGGAGGUCAAAACAACUUGUGUAGGCAACCAUGCAUAGUUUCAGAGUUGAAGGUGAUGAUGUCUUUUGAGCCAAUGGAUUUUUCUAGAUAUCAUAAGUGCAAUGGAAAAUUAACAAAUUGGUCUAGACAAAGAGUCAAACAUUUUUUCUGUUGGAUGCUAGAAAUGCCUCAUAUAAUUAUUGGCUAAGCUGCAAGAUGUGGUGUCAUCAAAUGCAGAGGAGAGACCUCAAGUGAUACACAUCGAUCAUUUUCUGUGAGUUGAUUCGAUAAAGAAAAAUUGUCUGGUGCUUUUUUGACUUAAGAAAGGUGGUUUAACUUUGCCUUGUUUGCUUUUGGUUUGUAAUAUUGUUUCUCAUUGGCUGUUCUUGGAUUUUUUUUUUUUUUCUUUCUUUCCUUAUGUAUCUCUUAGAACUUGACUUUUGCCUUAUGGAAUUGUGGAUGUUUAUUUGUAUGUAUUAAUGGUGGAUUUGUGUGCAGUGAAUUGAAUUUCUAAUUUCGAGU